AUGGGGGAGGAAGGGGAAACCACCAGAGACCCAGAGACAAAGAGACUGGCAGAGACGAUUGAGACCAGGAGAUCCCAGCGGUCCCACAGAGUAGGAAGGGGCGGCCCAGACCAAAGUUGGGCAUUUCUUGCCUGGGAUUCAGACUCACAGGACCGAGUCGCCCGACAGCAGGAGGGGGCUCCAGGGCCUUGGACGAGCAGGGGUGAAGCAGCUCCUCGGUCGGCCCCGCCGCCGGGAGGCCUCUGCCGAGUGUCCAGGCUGCCCGCACCCCAGCUCCCCGAUCCCGGGCAGGCCCUGCCCCGCUGCCCCAGCGCCCCGCCCAGCCAGCCCAGAGCCCUACCUCUCGGCCUCGGCCACCGAGCUGGGCCGGGGGUCCCGGAGCCUACGAUGUCGGGCUGUCCUUCCCGCGGGGGGCGCGGCGGCGAUCAGGGGCUGUCCGCUUCUCUUCGGGGGCCGCACUUCGCCCCGCAAGGCAUCUUCGUAAAAAGUUUGCUCGCCAGAAAAGAAGGGACCCCCGCCUCCUUGGUGGAGCCCAGGCGCGGCCUCCGAAGCCCCAAGGGUCCCGGGACUGGUGAGGGAAGAGGCGGCUCUGCCCCCACCCCGAUCCUCCAGGUGGAGCCGCCUAGGUGGCUGGGGCGAGCAGGUCUCUCAAAUCUCCUCCGCGUGGAACCGCUGGGUCUCUCUCCGCUCCUCGGCUCUUCUCUCCGGUCUCUCUGCCUUUCUCUUUCUGGGCUGUUGACAACCCCCACACCAGGAAGUCCUGCCUCCUCGGGCCUGCUGACUGCUCCUCUCCUCCUCCUCCUUCCCCUCUUCCUCCCCUUCCUCCGCCCUCUCUGCCUCCUGGGGCUCCCGGCCAGCUGGCCCGGGGCCAGGCCUGCCACCACCUCUGCUGCCACUGCUGCUGCUGUUCCUGCCCCCUCCCCGCCCCCCCGCAACAGGCUUAACCCCACACCUGCUGGGCCCCAAUCCUGCGUUUCCUCGGAGGGAGGGGCCGUGGAGGGCAGAGAGAAAAGGGGAGGAGUUUGCCGGGGGGCCAGGGAUUCCCUUACUUGUAGGCACUUGCUGCCAUUGGCCUACGGAGAGAGCAAGAACUUGCCAACCAGGGGCUCUGCUGGGUGCCCGCCACCCCAUAAGCUGCUGCUCAGCUCUUGCCAUAUCUUCACUGGUGUUCACAGUAACUCUAUGAGGAAGGUUCCGUUAUUCUUUCCUGUCUUUAUUUUAAAACGUGGAUUAUGA
rnacentral:lncRNA from 1 species